UUGAACGCUGGCGGCAUGGCUAAAGCAUGCAAGUCGAACGCGAACCACCUUCGGGUGGGGAAAGUGGCGAAAGGGCGAGGAAUACGAUCGAAUGUACCCUGAGGUGGGGGAUAGCGUCGAGAAAUCGACGGUAAUACCCCAUGUGCUCUACGGAGGAAAGGUUUACCGCCUCGGGAGCAGCGAUCGUCCUAUCAGGUAGUUGGCGGGGUAAUGGCCCACCAAGCCGAAGACGGGUAGCGGGUGUGAGAGCAUGACCCGCCGCAUCGGAACUGAGACACUGUCCGGACUCCUACGGGAGGCUGCAGCGACGAAUAUUCCGCAAUGGGCGAAAGCCUGACGGAGCAAUGCCGCGUGUGGGAUGAAGCAUCUUUGAUGUGUAAACCACUGUCAGGUCCUAGGAACACUGACCGGGACCAGAGGAAGGGCCGGCUAACCUCGU
rnacentral:rRNA from 1 species